rnacentral:rRNA from 1 species
AACGAACGCUGGCGGCAUGCCUAACACAUGCAAGUCGAACGAGAUCCUUCGGGGUCUAGUGGCGCACGGGUGCGUAACGCGUGGGAAUCUGCCCUUAGGUUCGGAAUAACAGUUAGAAAUGACUGCUAAUACCGGAUGAUGACGUUAAGUCCAAAGAUUUAUCGCCUGAGGAUGAGCCCGCGUAGGAUUAGCUAGUUGGUGUGGUAAAGGCGCACCAAGGCGACGAUCCUUAGCUGGUCUGAGAGGAUGAUCAGCCACACUGGGACUGAGACACGGCCCAGACUCCUACGGGAGGUAGCAGUGGGGAAUAUUGGACAAUGGGCGCAAGCCUGAUCCAGCAAUGCCGCGUGAGUGAUGAAGGCCUUAGGGUUGUAAAGCUCUUUUACCCGGGAUGAUAAUGACAGUACCGGGAGAAUAAGCCCCGGCUAACUCCGUG